GGCGGACGGGUGAGUAAUGCGUAGGAAUUUACCUCAAAGCGGGGGAUAGCCCGGAGAAAUCCGGAUUAAUACCGCAUGUGCUCUACGGAGGAAAGCGGGCCUCUUCUUGAAAGCUCGCACUUUGAGAUAAGCCUACGUCGGAUUAGCUUGUUGGUAGGGUAAAAGCCUACCAAGGCGACGAUCCGUAGCUGGUUUGAGAGGAUGAUCAGCCACACUGGGACUGAGACACGGCCCAGACUCCUACGGGAGGCAGCAGUGGGGAAUAUUGGACAAUGGGCGCAAGCCUGAUCCAGCAAUGCCGCGUGUGUGAAGAAGGCCUGCGGGUUGUAAAGCACUUUUAUCAGGAAAGAAAAACAUAGGGAUAAUACCCCUGUGCCUUGACGGUACCUGAUGAAUA
rnacentral:rRNA from 1 species